GCAGGUCAGCAUACUGCCGUGAAUACGUUCCCGGGCCUUGUACACACCGCCCGUCACACCAUGAGAGUUGGGAUACCCGAAGCCUGUGAGCUAACUUUUAGAGGCAGCAGUCGAAGGUAGAAUCAAUGAUUGGGGUGAAGUCGUAACAAGGUAGC
rnacentral:rRNA from 1 species